rnacentral:rRNA from 1 species
UAGAGUUUGAUCCUGGCUCAGAUUGAACGCUGGCGGCAGGCUUAACACAUGCAAGUCGGGCGGUAGCAGGGAGAAAGCUUGCUUUCUCCGCUGACGAGCGGCGGACGGGUGAGUAAUGUCUGGGGAUCUGCCUGAUGGAGGGGGAUAACUACUGGAAACGGUAGCUAAUACCGCAUAACGUCGCAAGACCAAAGUGGGGGACCUUCGGGCCUCAUGCCAUCAGAUGAACCCAGAUGGGAUUAGCUAGUAGGUGGGGUAAUGGCUCACCUAGGCGACGAUCCAUAGCUGGUCUGAGAGGAUGACCAGCCACACUGGAGCUGAGACACGGUCCAGACUCCUACGGGAGGCAGCAGUGGGGAAUAUUGCACAAUGGGCGCAAGCCUGAUGCAGCCAUGCCGCGUGUAUGAAGAAGCCCUUCGGGUUGUAAAGUACUUUCAGUAGGGAGGAAGGUGUGAGCGUUAAUAGCGUUCACAAUUGACGUUACUUACAGAAGAAGCACCGGCUAACUCCGUGCCAGCAGCCGCGGUAAUACGGAGGGUGCAAGCGUUAUUCGGAAUUACUGGGCGUAAAGCGCACGCAGGCGGUUUGUUAAGUUGGAUGUGAAAUCCCCGGGCUUAACCUGGGAACUCCAUCCAAGACUGGCAAGCUAGAGUCUCGUAGAGGGAGGUAGAAUUCCAGGUGUAGCGGUGAAAUGCGUAGAGAUCUGGAGGAAUACCGGUGGCGAAGGCGGCCUCCUGGACGAAGACUGACGCUCAGGUGCGAAAGCGUGGGGAGCAACCA